rnacentral:tRNA from 1 species
GCCUGGGUGGCUCAGUGGUUGAGCAUCUGCCUUGGGCUCAGGAUGUGAUCAUGGAGUUCUGGGAUCGAGUCCCACAUCAGGCU